rnacentral:rRNA from 1 species
CCAGACUCCUACGGGAGGCAGCAGUGGGGGAUAUUGCACAAUGGGGGAAACCCUGAUGCAGCGACGCCGCGUGGGCGAAGAAGUAUUUCGGUAUGUAAAGCCCUAUCAGCAGGGAAGAAGAAAUGACGGUACCUGAGUAAGAAGCACCGGCUAAAUACGUGCCAGCAGCCGCGGUAAUACGUAUGGUGCAAGCGUUAUCCGGAUUUACUGGGUGUAAAGGGAGCGCAGGCGGCACGGCAAGCCUGAUGUGAAACCCCGGGGCUCAACCCCGGGCAUGCAUUGGAAACUGGCGGGCUGGAGUGCCGGAGAGGUAAGCGGAAUUCCUAGUGUAGCGGUGAAAUGCGUAGAUACUAGGAGGAACACCAGUGGCGAAGGCGGCUUACUGGACUGUAACUGACGUUGAGGCUCGAAAGCGUGGGGAGCAAACAGGAUUAGAUACCCUAGUA